GUGGGGAAUCUUGCGCAAUGGGCGAAAGCCUGACGCAGCCAUGCCGCGUGAAUGAUGAAGGUCUUAGGAUUGUAAAAUUCUUUCACCGGGGACGAUAAUGACGGUACCCGGAGAAGAAGCCCCGGCUAACUUCGUGCCAGCAGCCGCGGUAAUACGAAGGGGGCUAGCGUUGCUCGGAAUUACUGGGCGUAAAGGGAGCGUAGGCGGACAUUUAAGUCAGGGGUGAAAUCCCGGGGCUCAACCUCGUAAUUGCCUUUGAUACUGGGUGUCUUGAGUGUGAGAGAGGUAUGUGGAACUCCGAGUGUAGAGGUGAAAUUCGUAGAUAUUCGGAAGAACACCAGUGGCGAAGGCGACAUACUGGCUCAUUACUGACGCUGAGGCUCGAAAGCGUGGGGAGCAAACAGGAUUAGAUACCCGAGUAGUCC
rnacentral:rRNA from 1 species